AUGCAUUUCCGUGUAUUAGCUAAAGCAUUGCGUAUGUCUGAGGGAGAUCAUAUCCACUCUGGUACAGUAGUAGGUAAGUUAGAAGGGGAAGGCGAAAUGACUUUAGGUUUUCUUGAUUUAUUGCGCGAUGAUUUUAUUGAAAAAGAUCGUGCUCGCGGUAUCUUUUUCACUCAGGACUGGGUAUCCAUGCCAGGUGUUAUAUGGGUAGCUUCAGGUGGUAUUCAUGUUUGGCAUAUGCCAGCUCUGACCGAAAUCUUUGGGGAGGAUUCUGUAUUACAAUUUUGUGGAGGAACUUUAGGACAUCCUUGGGGAAAUGCACCUGGUGUAGCAGCUAAUCGAGUGGCUUUAGAAUCCUGUGUACAAGCUCGUAACGAAGGGCGUGAUCUUGCUCGCGAAGGUAAUGAAAUUAUCGGAGCAGCUUGUAAAUGGAGUCCUGAACUAGCCACGGCUUGUGAAGUAUGGAAGGCGAUCAAAUUCGAGUUCGAGCCGGUAGAUACCAUCGAUUAA
rnacentral:rRNA from 1 species